rnacentral:lncRNA from 1 species
AGUGGGCGCGCGACGGGCUGCGGCUGGCCUCAGACUGCUCCUUCCACAGCAGCACGCGGUUCUGGAGCAUCCCCCGGGCCUGGCCGGGCGGGGACACGGGGGUCAGCCAGGUCCGGGCGGCUCCCUGAAUCCUGGGGACCCAAAAUGACACCCUCGACCUGAGAGCUCAGGCCCUACCAGCUCGGGACGACCGGAUUUUCUAGCUGGAAGGAGCCAGAAGCCAGCUCACCGUCCAACCCGCACCCUCUACUUUUGGCAAAGGCACCUCCAUUUUCCACGAAGAGCUUCCUCUGACCCCCCGCUUCCCGCGUCAAUGUGUGUGCUUUGAGCGGGGCUGUCCUCACCGCCCAGCUUCAGGGGUAGGGGUGGCACCCAGGCCUGGCCACUCAAUCACCCCAUCCUCCUUCCUGCAGCGAUAGGCUCAGGAAUGGCGCUUAGAUAGAAACUACGACCAAAGAACCCAGUCCCAUUACUUACUUACCCAGUAACACUAUGGAAAAUGCAUUUUUUUUUUUUUUUUUUUUUUUUUUUUUUAGACGGAGUCUGGCUCUGUCGCCCAGGCUGGAGUGCAAUGGCGCGAUCUCGGCUCACUGCAAGCUCCGCCUCCCGGGUUCAUGCCAUUCUCCUUCCUCAGCCUCCCGAGUAGCUGGGAUUACAGGCGCCUGCCACCAUGCCCAGCUAAUUUUUGUAUUUUUAGUAGAGACGGGGUUUCACCAUGUUGGCCAGGCUGGUCUCAAACUCCUGACCUCAGGUGAUCUGCCUGCCCUCGGACUCCCAAAGUGCUGGGAUUACAGGCGUGAGCCACCGAGCCUGGCCUAAAACUUCUUUCAAUGGCACUGACCUUUCUGUGUUGUCACUCAGUCAUAAUAAAAUCCCAGGUACAAUCAGAAUGCUGCAUUCUCCAGCCAUAAAGAUCGCUCCCUCUUUUCAAACAUCCCUGUCCCUCAAGGCCUAGCUCAAGACGGUCACCUUAAGAAAAGCUCCCUUUGUCGAGCAGUGACUCCAUACCAGGCCCUGCUUUAAACGCUUUAUCUGCAUUAUCUUACUUGAUUCUCGCAAUAGCCCUGGGUGGUAGGUGCAAUUAUUAUCUCCAGUUUAUAAAAGAAGAUACUGAGGGUCAGAGAAGUUAAGUGACUGGCUCAAGGUGUCACAUUCAGUAAGCGUUGAAGGGGUCUGUGUUGGUCUGUCCUUGAAGAUGCCCCCUACGACUACACUUUCAAUGAUUUCUGCCUUGAACCUGGCCCCAUGACUAAAAACCUCACGUCAAACUCAGGCAGCAAUAACGGGAAGGCUUGGUGCCUCCCAUCACUGGAGCAACUAGUCUAGCUGGUCACUAAGUGGACAGCCCCUCUGUUUCCCUGCAGUAACUAAUUAGCAGAAUAGCACAAAGAUAAAACCCGAAGGCCUUUGUGCAGAAGUUUCAGAGACAUAAGCAAAGUGAGAGCAUUAGGUUCUGCAUAUCUUUCUUGUUGUUGUUGUUGAGACAGAGUCUCGCUCUGUUGCCCAGGCUGGAGUGCAGUGGCACGAUCUUGGCUCACUGCAACCUCCGCCUCCCGGCUUCAAGUGAUUAUUCUGCCUCAGCUUCCCAAGUAACUGGGACUACAGGCGUGCGCCACCACUCCUGGCUAAUUUUUGUAUUUUUAGUAGAGACAGGGUUUCACCAUAUAGGCCAGGCUGGUCUCAAAGUCCUCAACUCGUGAUCCACCCGCCUUAGCCUCACAAAGUGCUGGGAUUACAGGUGUGAGCCACUGCACCCAGUCACAUGUCGUAUUUUAAAAGGGAUUUAAAAGUAUCAUUGGAUUGUUUGUAACACGAAGGAUAAAUGCUUGAGGGGAUGGAUACCCAUUCUCCAGCAUGUCAUGAUUACACAUUGCAUGCCUGUAUCAAAACACCUCAUGUACCCCAUAAAUAUAUACACCUACUAUGUACCACAAAAAUUAAAAUAAAUGGUGGGUGAGAAGAAACACUGCAUACGGUUUCAAAACCAUCAGAGAGGCCAUGGGAAAAAUUUUAAAAAUAUAUUUACGAAGUGAAACAGCCAUUCUAAGUAUGACACCAAACCCAUAAACUUGAAAAGACCGAUACAUUUUACUAAAUAAAAAUAAUGUUUUUGUAUAGCAAAACCAAUCAUAACACAGGCAAAUGAUAAUGGCAAACUGGCUAUUGUAUUUGCAACUCAUCACCAAGAAAAAGCUGGUUUCAGUAACAUAUCAAGAGCUCCUACAAAUUAAUAAGUGGAUGAAAAGAUACUGGCAUGUCACAGCACAGAAAAUCCAAUGGCUUUGAAACAUGAAAAGAUGUCAAGCUCGCGUUUAAGACAAGUAUGAGGUAAAGCCACACCGAGAUACCAUUUUUACCUUUCUAAUUAGCCAAGAUCAGAAAGUUUGCUCAUACACUGUUGUCAAGGGGUGCAGAAGCACAGAAACUCAUACAUCACUGAUGGAAGUGUAAACUGGUGCAACCAAUGACUAUAUUCUUGGGCUUACCAAUUCCACUUCUAGGAAUUUAUCCUGGAGAUACAUUUGCACAGCUGCAGUAAACGAGAGAAGCUAAGGAUGAGGUGGGAAGGCACGUUACUGACUAGACUUGGACUAAGCAAAGACUAAUUAGCGAAGAUGAAUAAGAAAGACAAUUUACCGUGCCCGGGCACCUAGAGUUCUUUAAAUCUUAUUCUAAGGCUGCCUUCUUUUUUUGAGAGAGAGAGCGAGCCUUGCUCUGUUGCCCAGGCUGGAGUGCAGUGGCGCAAUCUCGGCUCACUGCAACCUCUGCCUCCCGGGUUCAAGCCAUCCUCGUGCCUCAGCCUCCCGAGUAGCUGUGAUUACAGUCAUCCGCCACCAUUCCUGACUAAUUUUUGUAUUUUUAGUAGAGACGGGGUUUCACCAUGUUGGCCAGGCUGGUCUUGAACUCCUGAUCUCAGGUGAUCCACCCACCUCGACCUCCCAAAGUGCUGGGAUUACAGACAUGAGCCACCACGCCCACCCCAAAUGUGCCUUCUACUUAUAAAUAGAACAAGAAGUAAAUAUAUAUGCUUAGCUAUCUUAGGAGUUAGAUCUUGGAUGUUUUAAAGUCCAGCUGGGUCAGACAACAUGUUACUUGCUCCCUAUGUGAUAUGGUUUGGAUAUUUGUCCUCUCUAAAUUUCAUCUUGAAAUCUGACCCCCCAGUGUUGGAGGUGGGAUCUAGUGGGAGGUGAUGGGGGCAGCUCCCUCAUAAAUGGCUUGGUGCUGUACCCCACGGUAAUGAGUGGUAUGAGUUCAUGCAAGAUCUCCUUGUUUAAAAGAUUGCAGUGGCCGGGCGCGGUGGCUCACACCUUAAUUCCAGCACUUUGGGAGGCCGAGGUGGGUGGGUGGAUCACCUGAGGUCAGGAGUUCAAGACCAGCCUGGCCAACAUGGUGAAACCCCGUCUCUACUAAAAAUACAAAAAUUAACGGGCAUGGUGGUGCAUGCCUGUAAUCCCAGCUACUCAGGAGGCUGAGGCAGGAGAAUCGCUUGAACCCAGGAGGUGGAGGUUGCAGUGAGCUGAGAUCAUGCCACUGCACUCCAGCCUGAGCAACAAGAGCAGAACUCCAUCUUAAAAUAAAAAGAAAAAAGAAAGAGUGUGGCACCCCACCGGCUCCCUCUCUGGCCAUGUGAUAUGAACUUCCCCUUUGCCUUCUGCCAUGAUUGUAAGCUUCUAGAGGCUUCGCCAGGAGCAGAUGCGGGCAAUGCACUUCUUGUACAGCCUGCAGAACUGAGAGCCAAAUAAACAUCUUUUAAAAUAAAUUACCCAGCCUCAGGUAUUCCUUUAUAGCAAUGCACAACGGACUAACACACCAUGCAUAGGGGAAAAUCUGCCUGUUCAACCCACAGCUCCCUCCUGAGGGACCCUCACCCACGAGGAGGCAGUCAAGGAGGGGGUCAGCUCUUCUCUUAAUGUUGAUGGUUAACUAUUUACAGGCAAAAAGGAGUUUAACACAGGUGAAAAAGAGUUUCCUUCCAAAGAAGAUCUAUAAAUAGCUAAGAAGCACAGGAAAACAUGUUUAACAUCACUAGCCAUCUGGGAACCGGAAAUCAAUAUUGCAAUCAGAUAUCGCUUCACACCUGCUAGGAUGGCUAUUAUCAAAAAGACAGUAACAAAUAGUAGCGAGGACGUGAAACAACUGGAACCCUCAUAAACUGCUGAUGGACACGGAAACACUCCGGAAAACGGUCUGGAAGUUCCACAAACAGUUAAACAUAGAGUUACCAUAUGGCCCCACAAUUCUACUCUUAUAUACCCAAGAGAGAUGAAAACAUAUGUCCACAUGAAGACUCGUACAUGGAUGCUCAGCGCAGCAGUGGUCAUGACAGCCAAAGAGUGGAAACAACCAGGCGUCCAUCAGCUAACAUCUGAGUAAAUACAUCGAGUAAACGAGUAAAUACAAUGUGGUGUAUCCAAGCAAUGGAAUAUUAUCCAGCAGUGAAAAGGAAGCCAGUCGCAAAAGAGCACACACAUUGUAUGAUUCUGUUUAUAUGAAAUGUCCAGAAUGGGCAAAUGUAUUGAGACAGAAAGUAGAUUCCUGGUGGCCUGGGGCUGGGGGAGUGGGAGGAUUGGGAAUGACAGCUAAGGGGUACCGGUUUGUAUUUUUUUUUUGAGACGGAAUUUCGCUCUUGUCCAGGCCGGAGUGCAGUGGUGCAAUCUUGGCUCACUGCAACCUCCACCUCCUGGGUUCAAGCAGUUCUCCUGUCUCAGCCUCCUGUGUAGCUGGGAUUACAGGCAUGUACAACCACGCUUGGCUAACUUUUGUAUUUUUAGUAGAGACGGGUUUUCACCAUGUUGGCCAGGGUGGCCUCGAACUCCUGUCCUCAGGUGAUCCACCCGCCUCGGCCUCCCACAGUGCUGGGAUUACAGGUGUGAGCCACCGCGCCUGGCCGAGGUACUGGGUUACUGUGGUGGAGGGUAUUGAAAAUAUUUUAAGCUUGAUAGUGGUGAUGGAUGCAUGACUCUGUGAAUAUACUACAAACCAGAAAGUGUACACUGUAAAUGGGUGAAUCGUAUGUGAAUUAUAUCUCAAUAAAACUGUUUUUCAAAAAAGGAAGUUGUUUCUCCCUGGCAGACCUUUUGUGGGAUAGCAGGGGACGAGAAGGCUGAGCCUGGGGCCGGGUGAGGCGGUGACAGUGGGCAGAUGAGAGCCUGA